rnacentral:rRNA from 1 species
GAUGAACGCUGGCGGCGUGCUUAACACAUGCAAGUCGAACGGUGAAGGCGGAGCUUGCUCUGCUGGAUCAGUGGCGAACGGGUGAGUAACACGUGAGCAAUCUGCCCCUGACUCUGGGAUAAGCGCUGGAAACGGCGUCUAAUACUGGAUACGAGCUGCGAAGGCAUCUUCAGCAGCUGGAAAGAACUUCGGUCAGGGAUGAGCUCGCGGCCUAUCAGCUUGUUGGUGAGGUAACGGCUCACCAAGGCGUCGACGGGUAGCCGGCCUGAGAGGGUGACCGGCCACACUGGGACUGAGACACGGCCCAGACUCCUACGGGAGGCAGCAGUGGGGAAUAUUGCACAAUGGGCGAAAGCCUGAUGCAGCAACGCCGCGUGAGGGACGACGGCCUUCGGGUUGUAAACCGCUUUCGCCUGUGACGAAGCGUGAGUGACGGUAAUGGGUAAAGAAGCACCGGCUAACUACGUG